rnacentral:rRNA from 1 species
GACGGAGGGCGCGAGCGUUGUCCGGAUUUAUUGGGCGUAAAGAGCUCGUAGGCGGCUUGUCGCGUCGACUGUGAAAACCCGCGGCUCAACUGCGGGCCUGCAGCCGAUACGGGCAGGCUAGAGUGCGGUAGGGGAGAUCGGAAUUCCUGGUGUAGCGGUGAAAUGCGCAGAUAUCAGGAGGAACACCGGUGGCGAAGGCGGAUCUCUGGGCCGUAACUGACGCUGAGGAGCGAAAGCAUGUGGAGCGAACAGG